rnacentral:rRNA from 1 species
GACGAACGCUGGCGGCGUGCUUAACACAUGCAAGUCGAACGCUGAAGACCUGGCUUUUGUUGGGUUGGAUGAGUGGCGAACGGGUGAGUAACACGUGAGUAACCUGCCCCCUUCUUUGGGAUAACGCCCGGAAACGGGUGCUAAUACUGGAUAUUCACUGGCCUUCGCAUGGGGGUUGGUGGAAAGGUUUGUUCUGGUGGGGGAUGGGCUCGCGGCCUAUCAGCUUGUUGGUGGGGUGAUGGCCUACCAAGGCUUUGACGGGUAGCCGGCCUGAGAGGGUGACCGGUCACAUUGGGACUGAGAUACGGCCCAGACUCCUACGGGAGGCAGCAGUGGGGAAUAUUGCACAAUGGGCGGAAGCCUGAUGCAGCGACGCCGCGUGAGGGAUGGAGGCCUUCGGGUUGUAAACCUCUUUCGCUUAUGGUCAA